UUUCAUCAAGUUGUUCCUCCAUAUACCGUGGAGCUUCUUUGCGCAUGCCACGCGUGGUGUAUUGUUCGAAAGUAGAAAACAAAAAGAAGGAAAAUGAAUUAUGAAAGUUUAGUAGUUUCGGGAAUGUUAUCUAGAAUCUAUUCAUGUACCUAACAAACUACAUUUUUAUAACCGGUGAUUGUAAAUCUCAACAUUAAUAUAUGAUUCAGCAUACACUACGAAAAAAAAGGGGAUAUUGUUACGAAAAAUUUGAGACUAAAAUUUUUGGUCGCAUAUUUGUGACUAAAUAGACACUAAUUUGUGACUAAUGUUAUAUGUCAAGAAAAAGUAGGUAAUUGGUAACAAUAUUGUGACGGGUUUUAUCGUAGCCAACUUUUGUCACAUUUAGUGACAUAAAAAUGACGAAAAUAAACGAGACAAAAUAUGUGACAUAAUUGUGACUAUAUUUAUUGUUAUCACAGUGACUGAUAUAUGACUAAAUCGUAUGUCUCCAUUUAUGACUAUAGAGCAACUAAAUGUUCGUGACAAAUUCAUAUAAAAGAAGGUAAACAAAAAUAUUUCUAGACCCCAAAUGAAUUUUUAAACCCUAAACUCUUAACACAAAUCUCAAAACUCUAAUAUUUUCAUAUUUUAACCUCACAUCUUAAAUUUAAAUAUAAAAUUUAGUAUUUUCAAAACAUUUUCACAUAUUCUGAAAGUAAACCUCAAACACCCAACCCGUAAGUCACAAAAAAUAAACCUUAACCUUUACAUAAAGUUUCAAAAUUACUAUAAUACACCUAAACUAAUAUCCAAUAUUUAUAAAAAAAUAUUUUUUCAAAUCUUAUUUAAAAACCUUAACUUCAUAUUUAAAUUUAAAGUCCAAACCCUUUUCUUCAAACUCCAAACCCUAUAUCAUAAAUUUUAUCUCUAAAUUUGUUUUUUCAUUUUUAGAACUAUACAGAUGUGUACUUUAAAUGAAUUAACUUAGAAUUUUAAUCAAACUUAUAAUAAACAUUAAAAAAAUUAAAGAAAGAUCAGGAGCAAAAAAUUCUAUCGUAAGUUUCAAAAAAAAAAUUAUAUCGUUGUAUUUUGCUGUACAACCAAAAUAAAACUUGCCCCGUAAAAAAAAACGAAAAUUUCCUAUUGGCUAAUUCAUAAGCACAAGAAUCAAGUUUUUGACCGUCGGAUGAGACUAAAUCAACGGACCAAAGUUAUUAAUUUUUCAGAUCUGCAUAUCUUUUUUUUACCAAACAGAUAUGCAUAUCUCUCGACAGAUUUUCUUAUUUGAUUUCAUCUCCUAAUCUCUUCAUUCUUAAGAUUUUUUCACUGCUAGCCUCUUCAUUCUCUUAACGAUCUCUGCUCUCAUAUCUCUUCAGCUUCGUUACCGUCUCUGUCAAUGGUCGUUCUUUGAUUUUGGUCCAUGUUAAAGAAUCGAAGGAGUGAAGGAGAACCAGAGGAGGAAGGAGAGAGAAGAGAAGGAAGAAAAUGAGAAGGAUGAACCAGCAUGAGAGGUGGAGACAUGAAGGUGUUCCGGUGUACCGUCACAGCGUCUGUUGUCGCUCCGAUUUAUAAGAAGAAAGACGAGGAAGAAGAAGAGUAGGAGGAGACAUAAGAAGAGCGGUUUCUCCUAAAGUCUACUUGUUCACUGCAGCGAUUAACGCAUUUUGCAAGGGAGGGAUGGAAUGAGGAUGAGUGGGAGGUAUGAUGAGGCAUUUAUGUGUAAGGAGAGCUAUGGCUUUGGAGACAAAGCGUUGAGUUGCUGAGAAGAUGCAUGCUAAUCAAUUAGGUUUAGUUUUUUUUUUUAAUUUGGUUUAGUUUUAUAAACCAAUUUUAAUCUGUAAGUUGGUUCGACCAAAAAAUAUUUGUAAGUUGGUUUUAAUUUAUAAACCAAAUUAGUAAAUCAAUUUUAUUUCGUAUGUACUGAAUUUUAGAUUUAAUUUUAACUAUAAGUUUAAAAUUUUCAUAUAAUUAAUUUUAUUUUAGUAAUUCAAUUUAUAAAUUUGUAUUAUUAAAAUAAAAAAAAUGAAUCAAUAUGGAUAUGUUACAUUAUAAUUAAUUAUAUUUAUAUUUUUUAUUAAAUAUUUUGAGACAAUUGAUCCGUUACUACAAAUGACAUUUUUGUCACAUUAUAAUUAGUCACAAAUUAAAACGAAUUGAGACAAUUUAAUAUGUAAAAAAUUGUAACAUUCUUGUCGCAUUAUAAUAGUCACAUAUUAUAAUGAUUUGAGACAAUUUAAUAUGUAAGAAAUUGUAACAGUGUUGUUAGUAACAUACAACGUAACUAUGUGAAACGAGUUUGUUACAAAUAUAUUAGUCACAAAUAUUAUGACAUUUUUUUGUUACGCUAUGCAUUUGUGACACACGUAUUGUAACCAUUAAAAUUGGUAACAAAAACGUAACAAUAAUUAUAUUGUUACGAAUUUUUUUCUAUUGUGACGAAAUGUUUUGUCACAAUACCUUUAUUUUCUCGUAGUGAUAACUUAUUAAUUUGACAAAGAGCAAACUUAUAUGAAUUUUCAUAGAUAAAUUUUAAGCCAAGCACUAGCAACGUCCAACGUCUUAGUGAUGGAUGUGAGUAUAUUGAGAAGAUAAUCGAAUAUGUCGAGUGGUUCUAUCCACCAUCGUCUCAUUAUUAUUAUUUUUAGAGUAUUUUAAGAGCAUCUUCGAAACUCGUCAUUAGGAAACUGUAUGUUCUUUGAAUUCCAGAAUGCUCGAUAUUCUUUUUCCCUUGAUAUGCGUCAAUUCGUGUCUUUUUUUAGUUAAUAAAACUCAUCACAUAUACAUAUUUUCAACUUUCUACGUUUUUAAUUCCUCAUAGUUGUAGUUACGAGCAUUUCAACAAUGUAUAUGAUGCAUGGAAAUCUCAAAUGGUCAAUCAUGAUCGUGGUGAUGCAUGAAUAAUGAUUUGAUGUUUACCAAAUCAUUAGUGGUUUUCACAACUGUGUCGCUACUCGCAAGACCCUUUGGCCUCCCUUGCCUUUUUUUUGGUCUAACGAAUAACGCUUGGCGAUCAUUAGACCAAAGCGUUUAAUUGCGUGAGAAAGAUCCAACAAAAAAAAUUACAAAUGAAGGAAAAAAACAAAUAUGUUGAGAAUCUUAAAUCCAUAUGUAGAGAAGAAUCGCAAGGGGUAUUAGAGGAGCUCAAAAUAGAAGAUAUUAGAUCGCAUACCUACCAAAUACCAAAACCGUUUUUCAUAAAUGACCCAAGUUAAGUUCCAUAUUAGGCCCAUUGUGCUUAAGAUGUAGUGAUGAGUGAUUGAGGGAGAAGAGGACCUACGUAGCCCAUUAGUGACAAGUUGCCUGAUAGAGAAGAACAAGAUUCUAGAAUGAAAUUCACUACUCAACAGUCAACACUGCUCAAUGAAAAUUCUCGAAUGCAGUUCACGGUUUCAAAGCACGUCUUAUUUUACUUUUAAACGCACGUACACAUACAUAUAAUAUUAUAAAUUUAUAAUUAUCAUCGUAUAAGACAAGUAGUCAUAUGAAUAGCAGAAUAGUAUACAUGUGAUUGUGAACCUGCAUGUUGUUAAAGAUAUGUUAAAUUUUCGACAAUGAGGUCCCAGCUUUUUAUCCAACUUCUUAAGCAUAUUCGCAAAAAUCUAAAUACGACAAAACAAAAUAGCAAUUAAUCCACCGUAAAGAAGAUAUAUAGUAUUGACUAUUGAGUAUAUAUAUGUUUUAGGUAGGUCAAGUUCGGCAGCUAUAACAUCACGCUCCGUGAAGCUUCCUCUUUCAAUUCACACAAUGACUUAAACAAACAACUGCAAAAAAGUAUAAAAGUAGAUUCUCUAUAUAUAAUGUGAUAAAUUCAGAUCAAGUCCAGGUACAAUUUAUCUGAAAUUUUAUAAUGGGAAAAAACAUAUUAGUCAAUUGAUCUUAUGACUCUUUAUCUUCUCCUUUUUGAGACUUUACUGUUACCACUUACCACCCAAAACGACAAUUAAUAAAUUACGUGCAUCAUGAUAGUUUCAUUCUUACUGUAUGAAAUGAUACGACUUAUAUAUAGAAAUUUACUUUAUCUUCUCCUUUUUGAGACUUUACUGUUACCACUUACCACCCAAAACGACAAUUAAUAAAUUACGUGCAUCAUGAUAGUUUCAUUCUUACUGUAUGAAAUGAUACGACUUAUAUAUAGAAAUUUACAUACUUAUAUCAAUAAAGAAAAUGCAUAUUGACAAAAGGUCAUGUUUG